UUCUUCUUUUCUCGUUUGUUUUCGUCCAUAGACGGACCCUGCUCUUACUCUUGAUGAUCAUGUAUUGUACUGAUGUGACUAAUGUAGCUUGUGGCGAGUGUAAGCCAAUUCUAUUAUAUAUCUCUUCUUUUCAGUACAUGUACUUGUAACGAUAUCCAUUCUUGUGACACGACGAGAUGCUCUUCUAUCCCUGACAAGGCCCUUGUGCCAAAUUGAGGAUAGGGUCGCAUCUUGGGCGUGACAAUUAUGCCUGCCAACAAGCCAAUUUUAG
rnacentral:lncRNA from 1 species